GACGAACGCUGGCGGCGUGCUUAACACAUGCAAGUCGAACGGAAAGGCCCUGCUUUUGUGGGGUGCUCGAGUGGCGAACGGGUGAGUAACACGUGAGUAACCUGCCCUUGACUUUGGGAUCACUUCAGGAAACUGGGGCUAAUACCGGAUAGGAGCUCCUGCUGCAUGGUGGGGGUUGGAAAGUUUCGGCGGUUGGGGAUGGACUCGCGGCUUAUCAGCUUGUUGGUGGGGUAGUGGCUUACCAAGGCUUUGACGGGUAGCCGGCCUGAGAGGGUGACCGGCCACAUUGGGACUGAGAUACGGCCCAGACUCCUACGGGAGGCAGCAGUGGGGAAUAUUGAACAAUGGGCGGAAGCCUGAUGCAGCAACACCGCGUGCGGGAUGACGGCCUUCGGGUUGUAAACCGCUUUCGCCUGUGACGAAGCGUGAGUGACGGUAAUGGGUAAAGAAGCACCGGCUAACUACGUG
rnacentral:rRNA from 1 species